rnacentral:lncRNA from 1 species
CGAAUGGUAUGAUUGGGUAGGUCAAGACCCCUUCCUGGGUCUUUGAUAUACCAUAGAUUUUACCCACUUCAAUCCAUGGUAUAUUAGUGUUUUAUGAUAUAAUUAUUCUGUUUUGGAGUCAUUUUAGCAUAUUUACAGGUUCAUGAGUGUUUUGGAGGAAAUGGUGAUUUUGGUGCAUUUUGGAGAUAAAAUAAGAAUAAGCAAGACCCCUUCCAGGGUCUUUAACAGCGAAGCGCGCAAGACCUGACUAGGUUUCCAGCCGACUUAAAUCCCAAGUCACACACAUUUACAUGAAUACCUAUGGCCGACUUUAACCUAAUAUUUAUGUGCUCUGCCAUUAUUUUAGGUAACACACGCUUUCAUAUUCUCUUACUUUUCCAUAGCAAACAUAAUUUAGAGUUUUUAGUAGUCUGGAGAGAAGAUUCAAGACUUCUUCAGAGCUUUGUAUUUCAACUCCAGUUUUUCUACUCUAUUCUAUUUUAUGAUGUUUAUUGUUAUUGUUGCUAUGAUUUACUUUGCUAUGUCUGUGUUCACUUGUUAGAUUUAGGGUUCAAUAAGGUUAUGAGGAAUUAGCCUAAAAUAUAGAAUUGCUAAGGUGAUAAAUAUCCUUAAAGGAAUUGUUAUUAAUGCAUGUGUGCUAGAGGAGCUAAGUAGAACCUUGAAAUUAGGAUAAUGGAUAACUACGACGGUAGGUUUUGCACCAGAUUA